UAUAUAUAUAUAUAUAUAUAUAUAUGUUCUCAUAAAAGGUUCCUUACAAAAGGUUGCUUUAUUGUGAAUGUGCUGAACAUGUUACUUCUGGUUGAGUGCUUAAAAAAAAUAAAACAUCAUAAAUCAUAAAUGCGCUGUAUUACAUAACAAUUUACCUUUCGCACUUUUUCAGUUUUUCUCUCCGUGCAUAUUCAUCGAUCCAGUCAUGUGUCCUUACUCAAACGUUCACACACAAGACGGUAGAGUGCCGAGAGAAUAUCGAGGGAUUUUCACCUAUCAAAGUGGAUAUAAAAACGAUGGGAUGCGUUUUCUAGCUUUUCGUGGUGGAGCGUAGCGCGUGUUAGCGGCACAGAAAAGAGACAGGACCAUCAGCUGGUUCGUGAAGGAGAGCGAGAGACGGACAGAUGACGACCGGCACACGUUUCGAGCCCCGGGUAGGAACAAAAGCGGAAAAAGUAGUCAGAGGGCAUGAAAGCUCCAUGUCUAAGCCGUUCCUGUGCGUCCCGCAUCGCUGGCGCACUUUAGAAACAUGGUGGUUGUCAGCCACGACUAAACACCAUUAACUCAAGUUUCCACACAUCCAUCACAUUAGCUCCAUUAGAGGAAGGCCCGAAUGACCGCAGAAUAAAUCAAAAACUGGUCUGGGCUCUAAAUAUAUUCAAGGCCAACCUGCUACAUAGCAGUACGCUUGUUACUGGAUCCAGGUGAACGUGUUAAGAAAAAUGCAGAUUGUAGAUUUUCCACCAAAUCGAAAUGAGCCGUGAUUAAUAAAUAAUAAAAGUUGGACGACGUCCUAAUAUUACAAGUAGGUUUUUCAUUACAUUAUGUUAAUUAGAGGAAGUCUGAAUGAACGCACGCAAUCCCCAAAGCAAAAAUAUUCAUAUUUCCUUAGUAGUUUUCUUAAAUAACCAGAAAUGGGGGGGGGGGGGAUAGACGACACACACACCAACAACCGAAAUGUUCCUCAGGCAUUACUGUAGCUCAUACGCGCAAUCUAGUGUAUAAAAUGCAAAGUAAAAGAAAAAUCUACAUGCAAAUGAAUAAAUCUGACAUUAAACUCUUUAUUUUUUCCCCACAUGGAUAAAUUCUUUGCUCCACGAAGAUCCGUCGCUUAACUGAAUGACGGAGCAACAAAAACAAAUUCCACGGUAGAUGUCAUACGGCUUUAAAAAAAAAAAAAAAAAUUGUUCAUGAAGUAAUAAUCUUUUUAGCUUAGCAUGCUUUGCAAGAACAUUUAUAAUAAAUAUAUAGUUACGAUUGCGCUAUAUGUUUGUCAUUUUGUUUGAUCUUAAAAACAGACUCGACUAGUUUAUACAUUACACGGCGGCAAAAACGAGAGAGAAUACGUUUCGAUACGAGGUCGGCUACUUCUACCGGGAAAGAAAAAAAAAACACGCUUGACCGAAGGUGGCUACGUCGAGGAUACUGACCUAAUAAAUGAAAAGCGAUCCAAUUGAAUUAUAAACAUAUUGUAAAAAAUGAUCGAUUGAAACAGGAAAGCAAAUACGAUGAUUUCAUGAUUUUUAAUAUCACUGUUCCAGCGCUAACGUAAUAUCCGCAGUAUCCGGCACACAUCCACAGACUCGAGCGGACAGACUGCUGGAGCACCUAAGGAUGCCACUACUAAUAAGAGGAGGUUAAAAUAAAAAAAAAUAAUAAUAAAAAAAGAAAACUACGAAUGCAAGUCCUCCCCUAGGGUUUAUAAUGUCCAGAGGCACUACUCAAGGUGUCAUAUUCACUCGGGCUAACGCUGCCCUCCCCUCCAGCGACGGACUGUGGAUCCAUAAUGACGGUGUCACUUGGAAUCGCCCUCCCUCUUUUCCCACUGCACAUCCCACAUCCCACAUCCCACACGCAUUCAUUCAUGUGCAUGAAGCACCCACAGAGACACGCGCAUUACAGCACGAGUCCCGCCGUUACACGAGCUCUAAUGUCAACAUUACCUCACUCACCUAGUGCAUAGCUGACUAAUGGGCUAUUGUCACUCGCAACGGUUCAAAUGCUAACAAAAUAAACAGCUGGAAUCGGCCUUGUUUAGAAAGGGACGUUAUAAUGGGUGAAGAGAGGCGCGGGAUCCGGCGGUGCCACUUUCAUAUGUAAAUCCGCAGUUCAUUCAGGCUAAAUGACGGUGGGCGAGACGUAAACCAAAUUAAUUACGAUCGCAAACAAAAACGCCAUUCAAAUACGAUGACCGAACGCACUCCAUUACACGCCGAGAAUACGGGUGCAGCACGGAUUCUUUUAAAGUGUCAAUAUGAAUCUGCGAUCAUUUCGGUCCAACAUAUUAGUGCGUAUAGAAAGCCUUCGCGUGAUGUCUUUCAUCGUGUGCUUAAUAUUCUCCAAUUGUGAGGAACUUAUACUAUUUUAAUACGCGAUUCACUUAAUCAAGCUUAAAGCAAGCGUGAGGAAGUACGCAUGCGGCGUGUGUGUGAGCGGAGCUGCAAAAGAAAAAUGUCAAUUUAAUUGUUGUUAGAGUCAAAGAUUUAAAAAAAAAAAAAAAUAAUAAUUAAUAAUAGUUUAACAGUAAAUCAAGCCUCAAUAACAUGAACAUUAUUUUUAAUAUCUUAAUGUUAUAAUACAAACGUUUUGUUGUUGUUGAUGUAAAUUAAGAAUCCGUUUAUCGAAUAUUUGGCAUGUAGACCACUUGACCAUAUUUAAUUCUUUUUUUUUGUUUGUUUGUUUGUUUUUUGUUAGUGCCAAAGACGUACUUUCAUUCUAACGCAUUAAACCAUCUUCACAUCCUUUGAUGAUAAUGGUCCUUGAUAUUGACUAAUGUUAUUCAUUUACACUAAUUUAAAACACACACACACACACACACACACGAUUCACUUGAUCCAGCCUUAAAGAAGUGUACGAACGUCAGAAAGGUGGGUUUUAAACGCAAGCUGAACUGAGAAUCCCUUUCCCAAUUUAUAAAUGGGCGAUUCAGUCGUGUCAUUUUGGUCUAUUUUAGGUAACAUAUUAUUCAAUUACUUAAUCAACUUGCGUCCCGAAGAAGUAUUUUUACACUUAAGUUCAAAUUAUAAAAAUCAUUCACAUUCUUUGAUGCGAACUGUCCUCAUCAUUGAUCGAUUGGUGUUCAUUUUUUAAAUAAUUUAACACACAAGAUUCAAAGAAGCAUCAGAAUAAUAAGAACAUAGGUGUCAGAAAAGUGUUUCAGGUUCAAGGCAGCAGUAAAAGCGGCUAGUUUUUACAAAUGAACGCCGUUUUCAUUUGACUCGCCCACGUAUAAUUAGAGCUGCAAUCGAGUUGCUUUUUUUUUUUUUCCUUUUUAAAAUGUGGACUGAAUUAAGAAUCAGGUUUUAUUACUUUAUGAAUUCUACCUUUGGUAAACAUUUUUUGCUAGGGACAAAUUUCAUUCUAACAACCUAUAGCAAGUAAAAUGUGAACUGAAUUAAGAAUCACUUGGUUGACUAUUUCAAGAGUUACACCAUUUAGUUGUUACUAAAUUGAAUUCAGAUUAUUCAAAUUCGAUUUAUACUACGUCAUACCCUAAAGGCGGGUCAGAAUCUGAUAAUCAGCUGUGUUUAUGACCAGAGUUGCAGUCAAGGUGAUUUUUAAAUGCAAAGUUUGUUUACUAGACAUUUAGCCAGUUCAUUUGGUUUGUUAUAUAUAUAUAUAUAUUUUUUUUUUAACUUGUGGUCUGUAGUCCAUGUGUGUGCUUCUAUGUGACAGACUGUGUGUGUGUGUGGACUGGAAGGAAGAAAACAAAAAACAACAACAACAAAAAAAAAACCCCAACUCUGAACACACAAAAGGCUCUACUGUCUAUAAAGGAACAACACAUUCUCAAAGACACUCAGGUUCAUGAACGAGUGAGUAAACGAGCGUCCCGUCUGCCUUUCCAUUGCAAUGUUUCUCUUUUAAAUGAGGCUAAUGGAGAAACAACAGAGUGUCCUCAUUCGAAAUGACUGUAAGGCAAAACCCAUUUACCUCAUUCUGGAUAAUAGAUCACAAUAUUACUGUCACUCAUCACAUGGUACAUUAGUAAGAUGUUUGUAAAAAAAAAACACACACAAAAAAAAUCCCCUCAUAACAUGAUAUUAUAAAAUGUGCUAGUACACAAGGCAUUGCCUUAUAAUUGACAGUUUAUUCAAUUACAAACGGGCUAUUUAACUGACACAUAUAUAUAUAUAUAUAUAUAUAUAUAUAUAUAUAUAUAUAUUUUAAAUUUAUAUCCACUUUAUUCAAUGUUCGAAAACGACGAUAAGCAAACAUAAUGAGAAAUGAAUCAGCAAAGACUAGAAGAUUUGGUCAAGGAAGCAGGUUUUUAAACAUGAGCAGCUACUUCGAGUAGUUCAUUAUUUUUCAAAAUGAAAAAACACAUGCCUGACACAUGAUUAACACAAUCGUAAACUAUAAUGUAAGGUGGCAGGGCAUUGAUAAUACGUACUCCAUAUCCAGCAGGACGAAUCUUAUUUGGUGCAAGCCGUGCGAUUGGGCUGGCAGGAGCCUCGCACCCUGAGGUGAGAUUAUGAAGGAGGUAUGCAUGACCAAAAAAAAAAAAAAACAAAAACAAAAAAACGCUUUGGACUCGACCGACGUGUUUCUUUUGUCCCAAGGGCUGAACUAUUCAUAAACUGUCUGUUUUUUUUGUUUUGUUUUGUUUUUUAAAGCUUGUGGAUCUAAAUUACAGAUAAUGGAAUUACUAUUAAAAUCUCUCAUCUUACAAUGCGGAGAUAAUUCAUUUAUUCGUUCUUUUUCCUUUCAUUUUCUGGCCCCUUAAACAGAAAUUGAGAGCAUGGGAGAAAAAUCGUAACGUCGUGUGUUACGUUAAGCCGACUUAAUUACCGUCAGGGUUUUUUUUUUUUUUUUAAAUAAUUUUUUUUUUUUUAUGGUUUUGACAGAAAAGGGGAAUUCAAAUGCAUGGAAAUGUUCUGAUUAAAAACCUGAAUUAAAUGGGUCGGAAACAUUUCUGCAUGAUCCUUCAGGCCAGGCAGGGGAAAGAAAAAAAAAAAAAGAAUCAAAUGAAACAGAAGAAGGAGAAAGGAAAAAAGAAGGUUAGAGAAAUAACAGUGAAGCGAAGUGACGUUUGUGGUCGGUCUUUGAGAAUGCCUCGUCGUCGUUCAGAGAGACAGAGUGUGUGUGUGUGUGUGUGUGUGUGUGUGUCUCAGAGAGAGAAGCCGUGGAAUGUGCUUUGCUUUUCAUUUCUCCUCAGCACUUGGGCCCGGGUGGUCAGGGGUCAGGCCAAGCAGGCCGCUAUUCAUGGCCAGAUCAAGUUUAUGUGAGAAUCUGCUCCUCCUUUGGCCUCCAUUAGCAUAUCAAUGCUUAAUAAAAUCGCUGCGUGAACGUGUGAGAUCCCGUCACCCAGGAAGUCAUGCUGAGAGACUUUGGCUUGGGAAAAGAAAAAAAAAAAAAAAAUCCCUCUUUGCUUUGUGUUCGGAAUAG
ensembl:lncRNA